UGUUUUUCUAGCUUAAACCUGCGCCUCGCAGUCCCUUCUCCAGACAGACACUGAAAAUGAGCAGUUUCGAGGCAGGGGGAACUACCCCUCCCUCCCCAUCACCAGCCCCGCAGCCCGGCGUUCCCUGAACGGGGUUCGGCUCCCUCUUCGCCCCGCCCCUCGAAGGAUGGCGCCCAGGCCCCGCCCCCGGAAGCCCUGCCGGAGACUGCGUGCGCAGCUUUUUAUGGACCGGGAAGCGGAGAGUGCGGACUGGAGCUUGCACUGCCCAGCGUGUUUCUCGUUUGUAGUGUAAAUCUGUGCUGCGCGGUCCCGCUGACUCCACCCUCAGGGUCUUGGGAGUCACUAUGGACCUUAACUCCCAGCAGCCGGCCCUCCGACCCAGUAAAUCCAGACAUCGCCGUUACAGGUCGGGAUAGACCUCUAAAGACUCCUAUUGCUUGAGGAGGAAGCCCGGAAGAGGAGGGAGAGGAAAGAAAAGGAGUCAGAAAUGGCUCUUUCUCAGGCACCGUUGACCUUCAAGGAUGUGGCCGUAGGAUUCACUCAGGAGCGGGAACGCCUGGACCCUGCUCAGAGGGCCUUGUAUAGGGACGUGAUGGAGGAGACCUCCAGGAACCUGCUCUCUGUGGGUGAGGAUAACUUCCCUCCCUCUAGAAGUUGGGAUCUGCUCUUGGAUAUCUUUGCAUUUUUCCUGUGUGCCUCUUGGGAGCCCCUGUUUUGCUUGACUGAUCUGAAAUCCCUGUUGACUUGGACAUGAAAUGCUUCAGGAUGUGCAGUGUCAGUAGUUUAAACUGUCCUUUUCUUCAGGUGAUCUGCCCAUUUCAUGAUACGUCGAGGGUUGUUCCAGAGCUUGAGUAUUUAUAAAGCACAAUGGGAAACUUUUAAAAUACCCAAUUUCCUGUG